UCCGGUUUAUCACCGGCAGUCUCCACAGAGUCCUCGGCUUUACCCGUUAGUAACUGUGAACAAGGGUUGCGCUCGUUGCGGGACUUAACCCAACAUCUCACGACACGAGCUGACGACAGCCAUGCACCACCUGUGAUCCUGCCCCGAAGGGAAACCAUGUUUCCAUGGCGGUCAGGAACAUGUCAAGCCCAGGUAAGGUUCUUCGCGUUGCGUCGAAUUAAACCACAUGCUCCACCGCUUGUGCAGGCCCCCGUCAAUUUCUUUGAGUUUUAGCCUUGCGACCGUACUUCCCAGGCGGUCGACUUAGCACUUUAGCUUCGGCCGCGACAACGUCAGAGCUGCCACGACCUAGUCGACAUCGUUUAGGGCCAGGACUAC
rnacentral:misc_RNA from 1 species